GAGGAAGCCGGUGCAAGUCCGGCGCGGUCCCGCCACUGUGAUCCGUCGUCCGACAGCGCUUGUCGCCAGACGGUAGCCAGAGACUC
rnacentral:ncRNA from 2 species